rnacentral:rRNA from 1 species
GAUGAACGCUGGCGGCGUGCCUAAUACAUGCAAGUCGAGCGAACAGAUGAGGAGCUUGCUCCUCUGACGUUAGCGGCGGACGGGUGAGUAACACGUGGAUAACCUACCUAUAAGACUGGGAUAACUUCGGGAAACCGGAGCUAAUACCGGAUAAUAUAUUGAACCGCAUGGUUCAAUAGUGAAAGACGGUUUUGCUGUCACUUAUAGAUGGAUCCGCGCCGCAUUAGCUAGUUGGUAAGGUAACGGCUUACCAAGGCAACGAUGCGUAGCCGACCUGAGAGGGGGAUCGGCCACACUGGAACUGAGACACGGUCCAGACUCCUACGGGAGGCAGCAGUAGGGAAUCUUCCGCAAUGGGCGAGAGCCUGACGGAGCAACGCCGCGUGAGUGAUGAAGGUCUUCGGAUCGUAAAACUCUGUUAUUAGGGAAGAACAAAUGUGUAAGUAACUAUGCACGUCUUGACGGUACCUAAUCAGAAAGCCACGGCUAACUACGUG